rnacentral:tRNA from 1 species
GGGGAUUUAGCUCAGUGGUUCCGGCUCCUGCCUCGCAAGCAGAAAGCCCUGAGUUCAAUCCCCAGUACCCCCC